UUUGGACAUCUCUGUCUCUCCACCAGAUUUGUCACUGUCUCCAUCUGUGGUUCCAAUUUGACCUCUACCAUCCGAUUGUGGUUCCAAUCGCUGGCAAGUUUGACAAAACCCCAAGGUUGGAGACGACGCCUCUCUUCAUCCAUUGUUUAAUUUGUCGCAUAUAUUAGGGUUGGACUUCCACGACGAAUUUUUUUCUUCUUCUUCCUCUCUGAGUACAGUUGUUCUUCACAAAGCUUGUUCGACUGCUUGUUCUAGUCUUCCGAUUUCUUGUUGCUUCAGCUAGUUAUUCUUCGUCUUUGCAAAGAACUUGAUAUACCAGCUCUUCAAGGGUGUUGCUUUCUGCCACUGCCAUCGAAUCUUGCACAGGGAUCGCAGCCAAGUUCAAGAUUUCAUUAGGGGUGGCUCUGAGAGGGAUAACUUGCAUUAAGUAUAUUGGAUUUCAGGGUUUUAAUCGUUUAAGAGUUGCUACUUAGUUUGUUCUGGUCAUGGCAGGGAGUUGCCAAGUUGGUAUCUCACAUUUGCAGAGAGAUUGGGCAGCCUGGUAGCAAUCUUAGUUUUGAUCUGCUCUCUUUUGUUUUUAAUUUUUUUUUCUGUUUUGUAAGACCUUUUAUCCUCCUCUUGUUGUAAUUCACAUCCCUCUAUAAUUGUUGACGAUAACUGCCAUAGUUCUCCUCAACUCAACUUAACAAGCAACAGGUACUCCACUCCACUCAUUGAAUAAUCGCCUUUAACCUAUAAUGCACGGAUUAUCAUUCAAUAAUGUCCUUGGUCUUGUUUGACGGUGAUUUUUUGUUUUUUAAUUUUUUAUAUUAAAUUUUAUGUUACUUCAUAGAUGUAUGAGAACCUUGGAAGCAUAAUUAUUUUUUUAUUUUUUUAUUUUUUUUGCUUGUUAUGCAAUAGCUCUGUAUGUUUCUAGAGUUUUUACUUCGUGGCAAGUUUCAUGUGCUUCUUCAAUCUUUCUCCUUUUCAUAAAGCUUUUUGCUUUUAACUUGUACACUCUUUCUGUGACUUCCCAAUAACGUGCAGGGUUUGUAAUUUUGUUUUGAGUGUUCUGUGAUGGAAAAUUUAUAGUGUAUUUUCAUUACAUGAGUAUUUUCAUGACAUGAAUAUAAUGUAUGAACAUAAAAAUGCUGUAUGAAAAGUUUGUUUUCGUCCUUAGUGUGAUUAAACUUGUGGCUUGACUUUGAUUGCUGAUCUGAAAAUCUUAAAAAGAGAGGAAGGUGCUGUGUUAGGAGAUUGUCAUUUUACUUGUAUGAUAUGGAAGCCACUUUUACUUAUACUAAAGGCCUCUGUUUGUUUCGUAUCAAUAGAUUGUAAUUUUGUAAUUGAUAUAGUUGUUUCCCUUAAGGUAGUUGGUAACAUAUAGGUUCUUAGUUUUUUUAUUCACACAUAACAUCAUCCUAAUUGAUAACUGAGAGAAUAUAUAUUACCCAGCACCAAAGGUAUAAAUUUCUAAUAAUGGUAAUUUGUAAUAAAGUUAGCUAACAUGUUCUCCAAAUUAUGGAUCCUGUUAAAAAAAUAUGAUGCCAUUUCAGUUUUAUAGCUAUUAACCGUAAUUGACUCUUUCUCUGUUUCAGUAACCCACAAGGCAGUGUCAAAAAGUGUGAGAGCCUUAUUGGAAACAGACCAAACUUUGUGUACAGAGGAAGUAUGGGCGGAUGUGGGUUUGGAACAGGUGCCGGUGAUAGCACAAACUCGAGGCAUUCUUCAUCAUCAUCCUCAUCGAGGUUGAAGAUGUGCUAUUGUGGAGUGUCGGCUGCAUUGCGUGUAUCCCACACAGAUAGGAAUCCAGGAAGACAGUUUUUUGGAUGUCGUAACUUCCGAACCACGGAUGACUGCCAUUUCUUUGAAUGGUCUGAGGAACCGUUUUGCCGUAGUUGUGUGAAACACGAGAAGGUCGAAAAGUUAUUAGCCGUUUCUCAAAUGAUAACUGUCAUAACGUUUGGUAUUGUCAUGACAUUAUUUAUAAUAUAUAGAUGAUUUGUCC